AUUGAACGCUGGCGGCAUGCCUAACACGUGCAAGUCGAGCGGAUGAACGGAGCUUGCUCCUGGAUUCAGCGGCGGACGGGUGAGUAAUGCCUAGGAAUCUGCCUGGUAGUGGGGGAUAACGUCCGGAAACGGGCGCUAAUACCGCAUACGUCCUGAGGUAGAAAGUGGGGGAUCUUCGGACCUCACGCUAUCAGAUGAGCCUAGGUCGGAUUAGCUAGUUGGUGGGGUAAAGGCCUACCAAGGCGACGAUCCGUAACUGGUCUGAGAGGAUGAUCAGCCACACUGGAACUGAGACACGGUCCAGACUCCUACGGGAGGCAGCAGUGGGGAAUAUUGGACAAUGGGCGAAAGCCUGAUCCAGCCAUGCCGCGUGUGUGAAGAAGGUCUUCGGAUUGUAAAGCACUUUAAGUUGGGAGGAAGGGCAGUGAGUUAAUACCUUGCUGUUUUGACGUUACCAAAAGAAUAAGCACCGGCUAACUUCGUG
rnacentral:rRNA from 1 species